GCCGGCGCACACGGUGCCGUGGCUGGAAAAGCUGUCGCCGUGACGCUUCUUGCAUUGCCACGACGACAUGACGGGAACCCACGACGCCAGGACAGAGUCUAGGACACAAAAUGUUCGGUUUAAAAGCACCCGGCAUGCUGCUGUGGUCGUCAUCAGGCAGACACGCGGCAUUGACGUGGGGGUCAAACGUGAAGCAGUGACCCUUCUGGGCACCGGGCAGCUUGAGCAAGGCCAGGUCGUGACCUCCACUCUGACCUUUGAACUUCUUGUGAACCACAAUGCGCUCCGGGGUCAAGGUCCGCUCAGAUGCCCCUACCCGUACAACGUACUUGGACGGCUCCGUUCCAAACCUGAUGGAGGGUCAUGUGGCGGACGUGAGCGCCCAGCAUGAGCCAAUCAGAGUGGCGCUGCAGAGAGGGCCGCCGUCUUGACUUUGAGACUGAAGCCACACAGACGCCUGCCAAGGCCAUGAUGUCCUGCAAUAAGAGGAUUUUUUUUUUUGUACUUUUUCCAAAUGUAGCUGAAUAAGGUACAUUUGUGAAACAUGUAGUAAUAAAGCAAUAAAUCCACCAGAUGGAGCCAUGGUUUAAAAACUGCAAACUCAAAUGGAAUAGCUCCAACCUGAG